CAAGUCGAGCGCGUGAAUCAACAUGAUCCCUUCGGGGUGAUUGUUGUGGAUCGAGCGGCGGACGGGUGAGUAACACGUGGGCAACCUACCCAUGAGAUCGGGAUAACUCCGGGAAACCGGAGCUAAUACCGAAUAACCCAGUGAACUGCAUGGUUCACUGGUAAAAGGCGGUUUCGGCCGUCACUCAUGGAUGGGCCCGCGGCGCAUUAGCUAGUUGGUAAGGUAACGGCUUACCAAGGCAACGAUGCGUAGCCGACCUGAGAGGGUGAUCGGCCACACUGGGACUGAGACACGGCCCAGACUCCUACGGGAGGCAGCAGUAGGGAAUCUUCCGCAAUGGACGAAAGUCUGACGGAGCAACGCCGCGUGAACGAUGAAGGUCUUCGGAUCGUAAAGUUCUGUUGUUAGGGAAGAACAAGUACCAGAGGAAAUGCUGGUACCUUGACGGUACCUAACCAGAAAGCCACGGCUAACUACGUGCCAGCAGCCGCGGUAAUACGUAGGUGGCAAGCGUUGUCCGGAAUUAUUGGGCGUAAAGCGCGCGCAGGCGGUUUCUUAAGUCUGAUGUGAAAGCCCACAGCUCAACUGUGGAGGGCCAUUGGAAACUGGGGAACUUGAGUACAGAAGAGGAGAGUGGAAUUCCACGUGUAGCGGUGAAAUGCGUAGAUAUGUGGAGGAACACCAGUGGCGAAGGCGACUCUCUGGUCUGUAACUGACGCUGAGGCGCGAAAGCGUGGGUAGCAAACAGGAUUAGAUACCCU
rnacentral:rRNA from 1 species